GUCGAUGGCCAUACCACCCUGAACAAUGUGCACGAUCUCGUCUGAUCUUGGAAGCUAAGCAGGGUCGGGCCUGGUUAGUACUUGGGUGGGACAAAUACAAUUGAUUUUAGUGUGUUGAUC
rnacentral:rRNA from 1 species